GGAUGAACGCUGGCGGCGUGCCUAAUACCUGCAAGUCGAGCGAACAGACGAGGAGCUUGCUCCUCUGACGUUCGCGGCGGACGGGUGAGUAACACGUGGAUAACCUACCUAUAAGACUGGGAUAACUUCGGGAAACCGGAGCUAAUACCGGAUAAUAUAUUGAACCGCAUGGUUCAAUAGUGAAAGACGGUUUUGCUGUCACUUAUAGAUGGAUCCGCGCCGCAUUAGCUAGUUGGUAAGGUAACGGCUUACCAAGGCGACGAUGCGUAGCCGACCUGAGAGAGUGAUCGGCCACACUGGAACUGAGACACGGUCCAGACUCCUACGGGAGGCAGCAGUAGGGAAUCUUCCGCAAUGGGCGAAAGCCUGACGGAGCAACGCCGCGUGAGUGAUGAAGGUCUUCGGAUCGUAAAACUCUGUUAUUAGGGAAGAACAAAUGUGUAAGUAACUAUGCACGUCUUGACGGUACCUAAUCAGAAAGCCACGGCUAACUACGUG
rnacentral:rRNA from 1 species